rnacentral:rRNA from 1 species
UUCAAUCAUAAGCGGAGGAAAAGAAACCAACCGGGAUUGCCUUAGUAGCGGCGAGUGAAGCGGCAAGAGCUCAAAUUUGAAAUCUAGUACCUUUGGUGCUCGAGUUGUAAUUUGUAGAGUGGUGCCUUGGGGCCGUUCCUUGCCUAUGUUCCUUGGAACAGGACGUCAUGGAGGGUGAGAACCCCGUGUGGCGAGGGGUGCGGUUCUAUGUAAGGCCUGCUCGAAGAGUCGAGUUGUUUGGGAAUGCAGCUCUAAGUGGGUGGUAAAUUCCAUCUAAAGCUAAAUACAGGCGAGAGACCGAUAGCGAACAAGUACAGUGAUGGAAAGAUGAAAAGAACUUUGAAAAGAGAGUGAAAAAGUACGUGAAAUUGUUGAAAGGGAAGGGCAUUUGAUCAGACAUGGUGUUUUGCGCCCCCUGCUCCUUGUGGGUGGGGGAAUCUCGCAGCUCACUGGGCCAGCAUCAGUUUUGGCGGCUGGAUAAAUCCGGAGGAAUGUGGCUUCUCUCGGGAAGUGUUAUAGCCUGCGGGAAUACGGCCAGCCGGGACUGAGGAACGCGACGCAAGUCAAGGAUGCUGGCAUAAUGGUUAUAUGCCGCCCGUCUUGAAACACGG